GGAAUAUUGGACAAUGGGCGAAAGCCUGAUCCAGCCAUGCCGCGUGUGUGAAGAAGGUCUUCGGAUUGUAAAGCACUUUAAGUUGGGAGGAAGGGUAGUAACUUAAUACGUUGCUAUUUUGACGUUACCGACAGAAUAAGCACCGGCUAACUUCGUGCCAGCAGCCGCGGUAAUACGAAGGGUGCAAGCGUUAAUCGGAAUUACUGGGCGUAAAGCGCGCGUAGGUGGUUCAGUAAGUUGGAUGUGAAAUCCCCGGGCUCAACCUGGGAACUGCAUCCAAAACUGCUGAACUAGAGUACGGUAGAGGGUGGUGGAAUUUCCUGUGUAGCGGUGAAAUGCGUAGAUAUAGGAAGGAACACCAGUGGCGAAGGCGACCACCUGGACUGAUACUGACACUGAGGUGCGAAAGCGUGGGGAGCAAAC
rnacentral:rRNA from 1 species